GGUUGGCAACCUGGCAUCCAAGAAGGAGCAGCAGAUUGGGAUGAGGAUUGGGAUAAGUAUGAAGAUGAAGGAUUCACAUUGCUAAAAGAGCUCACCCUCGAUGUAGCUAAUGUCAUAGCUCCUCCUAAACAGAAGUCUUCCUUGAUUCGGGAUAAAGUAUCUUUGGAUGACAGUGAGACUG